UACGGGGGGGGCAAGCGUUGUUCGGAAUUACUGGGCGUAAAGGGCGCGUAGGCGGCCUGCUAAGUCGGACGUGAAAUCCCUCGGCUCAACCGGGGAACUGCGUCCGAUACUGGUGGGCUCGAAUCCGGGAGAGGGAUGUGGAAUUCCAGGUGUAGCGGUGAAAUGCGUAGAUAUCUGGAGGAACACCGGUGGCGAAGGCGGCAUCCUGGACCAACACUGACGCUGAUGAGCGAAAGCCAGGGGAGCAAACGGG
rnacentral:rRNA from 1 species